AGUCGCCACGGUAAUACGUAGGUGGCAAGCGUUGUCCGGAAUUAUUGGGCGUAAAGGGCUCGCAGGCGGUUUCUUAAGUCUGAUGUGAAAGCCCCCGGCUCAACCGGGGAGGGUCAUUGGAAACUGGGAAACUUGAGUGCAGAAGAGGAGAGUGGAAUUCCACGUGUAGCGGUGAAAUGCGUAGAGAUGUGGAGGAACACCAGUGGCGAAGGCGGCCCACUGGACCGACACUGACGCUGAGGCGCGAAAGCGUGGGGAGCAAACAGGAUUAGAUACCCCAGUAGUCCCUGUCUCUUAUACC
rnacentral:rRNA from 1 species